UGGGGAAUUUUACACAAUGGGGGAAACCCUGAUGUAGCGACACCGCGUGAACGAAGAAGCCUUUUGGGGUGUAAAGUUCUGUCGGCUGGAACGAAAAAAAUGACGGUACCAGCAAAGGAAGCAUCGGCUAACUACGUGCCAGCAGCCGCGGUAAGACGUAGGAUGCAAGCGUUGUCCGGAUUUAUUGGGCGUAAAGAGUUCGUAGGCGGUUAUUUAAGUCUGGUGUUAAAUACUGUGGCCCAACCACAGAACUGCAUUGGAUACUGGAUGACUUGAGUGCGGUAGAGGCGAGUGGAAUUCCCAGUGUAGCGGUGAAAUGCGUAGAUAUUGGGAAGAACACCAGUGGCGUAAGCGACUCGCUGGCCCGUAACUGACGCUGAGGAACGAAAGCCAGGGGAGC
rnacentral:rRNA from 1 species